UGGGGAAUAUUGGACAAUGGGCGCAAGCCUGAUCCAGCCAUGCCGCGUGAGUGAUGAAGGCCCUAGGGUUGUAAAGCUCUUUGACCGGUGAAGAUAAUGACGGUAACCGGAGAAGAAGCCCCGGCUAACUUCGUGCCAGCAGCCGCGGUAAUACGAAGGGGGCUAGCGUUGUUCGGAUUUACUGGGCGUAAAGCGCACGUAGGCGGACUAUUAAGUCAGGGGUGAAAUCCCGGGGCUCAACCCCGGAACUGCCUUUGAUACUGGUAGUCUUGAGUUCGAGAGAGGUGAGUGGAAUUCCAAGUGUAGAGGUGAAAUUCGUAGAUAUUCGGAGGAACACCAGUGGCGAAGGCGGCUCACUGGCUCGAUACUGACGCUGAGGUGCGAAAGCGUGGGGAGCAAACAGG
rnacentral:rRNA from 1 species